GAGGAUUUAGCUCAGUGGUAGAGCACUUGCCUAGCAAGCACAAGGCCCUGGGUUCAGUCCUCA
rfam:Rattus norvegicus chromosome 10, whole genome shotgun sequence.